rnacentral:tRNA from 1 species
GAGGGGGUGGCCGAGCGGUCAAAGGCGGUAGACUGUAAAUCUACUAACUCCGGUUUACGCGGGUUCGAAUCCCGCCCUCCUCA